CCUACGGGAGGCAGCAGUGAGGAAUAUUGGUCAAUGGACGAGAGUCUGAACCAGCCAAGUAGCGUGAAGGAUGACUGUCCUAUGGGUUGUAAACUUCUUUUAUAUGGGAAUAAAAUGUUCCACGUGUGGGAUUUUGUAUGUACCAUAUGAAUAAGGAUCGGUUAACUCCGUGCCAGCAGCCGCGGUAAUACGGAGGAUCCGAGCGUUAUCCGGAUUUAUUGGGUUUAAAGGGAGCGUAGGUGGAUUGUUAAGUCAGUUGUGAAAGUUUGCGGCUCAACCGUACAAUUGCAGUUGAAACUGGCAGUCUUGAGUACAGUAGAGGUUGGCGGAAUUCGUGGUGUAGCGGUGAAAUGCUUAGAUAUCACGAAGAACUCCGAUUGCGAAGGCAGUUCACUGGACUGCAACUGACACUGAGGCUCGAAAGUGUGGGUAUCAAACAGGAUUAGAUACCCGUGUAGUC
rnacentral:rRNA from 1 species